GGAUCAGGAAGCAGACAACGAGACUUGCAGACGAGUUACUCAGUUGUUCAUUUGUGUUUAUUUGAUAGAUCAUUGAGAUCAUAUCACCACUUAGACGGAACAGCUUCAGCUUACCAAUUAAUUCUCCAAGUUUUUAGAAGAAGGAUUUGACUUGGCUAGUCAACAACACAAGCCAAGAUCAUUGAGAUCAUAUCACCACUGUUAGACGGAACAGGUUCAGCUUACCAAUUCUCCAAGUUUUUAGAAGAAGGAUUUGACUUGGCUAGUCAACAACACAAGCCAAGAUCACUGAGAUCAUAUCACCACUGUUAGACGGAACAGCUUCAGCUUACCAAUUCUCCAAGUUUUUAGAAGAAGAAUUUGACUUGGCUAGUCAACAACACUCCAAGAUCAUUGUAUUCAUAUCAUCACUGUUACAUGGAACACCUUUAGUUUUUGUAAAGAUGCUGCCAGCUAUCCAGCUAAUGUUGAAGGCAUGCAGUCUCAAUCGAUCAUCAUAAACUAGUUAGCUCUGCCAACAUCAGUGAUAUUGUUUGUACCAAACACACUCAGGCAUGCCUUAGUGUGAACUGAGUUCAUUGAGUUUUUAUUUUAUUUAUUAUUUUGUUAUUUCACAUUUUCAUGACAUGGCAACGUCAUGAAAAUUUGCACAUUUCAAACAUAUCGGCAACGUUUAGAGUGUCGAAGACGCUCAUUUCUCCUAGCACUUCACGAGAGCACUUCUCUCGUGGUGAAACCGUGAAAUAGUGUUUUAUUAAUGUGAAAUAAGAAGCCGUCAAGUCGAUAUUCGAAAUUUUCCGUCACAUAAAAGUUCCAAACUCUUCAUCUAUGCGAUGGAAAUCAUUCAGUGGGGUGCUUCUGAAGUUAGGCAAGCUUUGGAAGCAGAAGGAUUUGAGUUGGAUAUCUGCAAAACUUUGUGUACGCUCAGAGAAUCUCAAUCCAACAUGUUCAAGUCAAGCUGAGACAGUGAACACCAAUGCUGGCAAAUCAUUCAUUUCUUAAGAUUAGUAGACAGAUUUUAAGUAGGUAAAAAAGUUAAGUAUGCGUAAAUAAAUAAGUAUGGUGAA